rnacentral:lncRNA from 1 species
CCUGCUUACCACCCAACACUGAGAAAAUCAAACUGGGCCACGUGCCCACUUGCUGCCUUCCUUGCAGCUGAGUCCCUAGGCAAGGAGGCCCUGGAUGGGGGUGGCCGUGUCACCAAAUAUCCGCUUCCCUGGUGAUAGGAGGUCUGUGGGCCCCACUCAUCUCCUGUGUGCUUCCCCCAGCUAACCAGGAGAUGCUUCAGAAGGUCGAAGUUGAGUAUGAAACGCUGCCUGGGUGGAAAGCAGACACCACAGGCGCCAGGAGGUGGGAGGACCUGCCCCCACAGGCCCAGAACUACAUCCGCUUUGUGGAGAAUCACGUGGGAGUCGCAGUGUGUAUCAUAACAGUCUUUUCUGCUCUCUCAGUCAAAUGGGUUGGUGUUGGCAAGUCAAGAGAGUCGAUGAUCCAGCUGUUUUAGUCACAGACUGAGCUGAUCCCAACAGGCCCUGGCAGCGUCUGGACUUGUGUAAACAGCAGCAGUCACGUUCCUCGGCCGCCACAACCAACACCAAAGCAGGAAAA